rnacentral:rRNA from 1 species
CCCAGACUCCUACGGGAGGCAGCAGUGGGGGAUAUUGCACAAUGGGGGAAACCCUGAUGCAGCGACGACGCGUGAGUGAAGAAGUAAUUCGUUACGUAAAGCUCUAUCAGCAGGGAAGAAAAUGACGGUACCUGACUAAGAAGCCCCGGCUAACUACGUGCCAGCAGCCGCGGUAAUACGUAGGUGGCAAGCGUUAUCCGGAUUUACUGGGUGUAAAGGGCGUGUAGGCGGGAAAGCAAGUCAGAUGUGAAAUCCCGCGGCUCAACCGCGGAACUGCAUUUGAAACUGUCAGUCUUGAGUACCGGAGAGGUCAUCGGAAUUCCUUGUGUAGCGGUGAAAUGCGUAGAUAUAAGGAAGAACACCAGUGGCGAAGGCGGAUGACUGGGCGGCAACUGACGGUGAGGCGCGAAAGCGUGGGGAGCAAACAGGAUUAGAUACCCUCGUACAC